UACGGGGGGGGUAAGCGUUGUUCGGAAUUACUGGGCGUAAAAGGCUCGUAGGCGGCCAACUAAGUCAGACGUGAAAUCCCUCAGCUUAACUGGGGAACUGCGUCUGAUACUGGAUGGCUUGGAUUCGGGAGAGGAAUGCGGAAUUCCAGGUGUAGCGGUGAAAUGCGUAGAUAUCUGGAGGAACACCGGUGGCGAAGGCGGCAUUCUGGACCGACAUUGACGCUGAGGAGCGAAAGCCAGGGGAGCAAACGGG
rnacentral:rRNA from 1 species